CCUGGCGCGCUCUCCGCCCGCCUCGCUUCCGCCCGGCGCCGCUGCUCUCUGCUCUCCUCUCCUCUCCCCGCCCUCGCUCCCUCCGGCCCGGGCCCGCCGCACCCCGAGCUCCCAGCCGGCAGCUUCACGGGCCGCCGCCGCCGUCGUCGUCGUCAUCGCGGCCCCCCCCCACCCCGCCCCCUUUCGAGGCGCUCUGGCUGGGGGUGACCCGCCGACGGCAGUCUCACUCCGCAGCGCCCGGGCCUGCCUGUCGCUCCGCCCCGGGCCCGUCCGGUGACAGUCGCGACCGCGGGAGGUGGCGGCGGAGGAAGAGGCCGGAGCCGGGAUGUCCGGGCAACAGCAACAACAGCCCCCGCCGCCGCAGCUCCCCUUGCCGGCCGCCGCUCCCCCGCCGGCGCCGGGGAUCCCCUCCGCCGCCGUCGCCGCCAACCCCGGCCCCGCACCGGCCGCCGCGCUGCUGCUCCACCCGCCGCCGCCGCCGGCCACUGCUGCGCCGCCGCCACCCGCCGCCGCCGGCAGCGGGCCCGCGGCGGCGGGGGGCGGCGGUGCCGGCGCGGCGCUGGGCCUGUCGGCGGGGAGCAGCGGCACCACCGGCACCAGUGCCCCGGCGCCGUUCCCGCACGGCGACCCGGCCCUGAACGAGCAGGAGAAGGAGCUGAAACGGCGGCUGAAGAGGCUCUACCCGGCCGUGGACGAGCAGGAGACGCCGCUGCCCCGCUCCUGGAGCCCGAAGGACAAAUUCAGUUACAUCGGCCUCUCUCAGAACAACCUGCGGGUACACUACAAAGGUCAUGGAAAAACUCCAAAAGAUGCUGCUUCUGUUCGAGCUACACACCCUAUACCUGCAGCGUGUGGCAUAUACUAUUUUGAAGUUAAAAUUGUCAGUAAGGGAAGAGAUGGUUACAUGGGAAUUGGGCUGUCAGCACAGGGUGUGAACAUGAACAGACUACCAGGUUGGGAUAAACAUUCAUAUGGUUACCAUGGAGAUGAUGGACAUUCAUUCUGUUCCUCUGGAACUGGACAACCCUAUGGCCCAACGUUUACUACGGGUGAUGUCAUUGGUUGUUGUGUCAACCUUAUCAAUAAUACCUGCUUCUACACAAAGAAUGGACACAGCUUGGGCAUCGCUUUCACAGAUUUACCGCCAAACUUGUACCCUACAGUAGGGCUUCAGACACCAGGAGAGGUUGUGGAUGCUAAUUUUGGACAACACCCGUUUGUAUUUGAUAUUGAAGACUAUAUGCGAGAAUGGAGAACCAAAAUUCAAGCACAGAUUGACAGAUUUCCAAUAGGAGAUCGAGAAGGAGAGUGGCAAACAAUGAUUCAGAAAAUGGUAUCAUCUUACUUAGUUCACCAUGGAUACUGUGCAACAGCAGAGGCAUUCGCCAGAUCCACAGACCAGACUGUGCUAGAAGAAUUAGCUUCCAUUAAAAAUAGACAAAGAAUUCAGAAAUUGGUUUUAGCAGGAAGAAUGGGAGAAGCCAUUGAAACAACACAACAGUUGUAUCCAAGUUUACUAGAAAGAAAUCCUAAUCUCUUAUUUGCAUUAAAGGUGCGCCAGUUCAUAGAGAUGGUGAAUGGUACAGACAGUGAAGUGCGGUGCUUGGGAGGCCACAGUCCAAAAUCUCAAGAUAGUUACCCCGUUAGCCCACGAUCGUUCAGUAGUCCUAGCAUGAGUCCCAGCCAUGGAAUGAAUAUUCACAAUCUGGGGACAGGAAAAGGGAGCAGCACACACUUUCCUGGGUUUGAAAGUAGUUGCAGUAAUGGAGUUAUAUCAAAUAAAGCGCAUCAAUCUUACUGUCACAGUAAACACACGACCACCAACUUGAAUGUACCAGAGCUCAACAACAUAAAUGUAUCAAGAUCACAGCAGGUUAACAGCUAUUCCAGCAAUGAUGUAGACAUGGAAACAGAUCACUACUCCAAUGGGGUUGCUGAGACUUCAUCCAAUGGCUUCCUAAAUGGUAGUUCUAAACAUGAUCACGAAAUGGAAGAAUGUGACACAGAAAUGGCCUUUUCCACAGAGGCUUGCCGUGACAGACAUGAAGCGGCUGCACAGGGCACAGAGUUGUUUGUGGUUUGGUUUGGCUUUUUAAUGUGGUUGUUUUCUUCCUGUGGAAAGUGAUGUCCUAGAUUGGACAGCAGCAGCAAAUAUCACUUCUUGAAGACUUCUGGGUGCUUCACCUUUGUAAAAAAGAAACGUGGCUCCUCAGCCUACAUUGUUUACUCCCUGCAGUUUGAGUUUGGUGGUUGUUUUGGUGGGUUUUUUUGCUGUUUGAAAUAUUUAUGUGUUCUCCUUAGUGCUGUGUAUGUAGUGUUAAGUAGGCAGGUUUUUUCCAGCGGUGAUAUGCUCACGUCCAAGAACAAAGUAAAAGAGGCCUUACAAAUCCUUACUUGAAAUAGUGGUCAGAAUACAUCACUAGAAAGCAGUAUUAAAAUAGGGAACAAGAAUGGUUUGGUAAUUAUGGUGUACGUAAAAUUCUGAUUCAGAACUUCAUUCCAUUGAUGACAAAAAGCAAGGAAUGGAUAAAUGCCCCUUUCUUUGUUUUGUUUUGUUUUUGUUUUUUUUUUUAACAGACUGCUUUAGCUGUAUAUUAAAAAAAGGCAGAACUUUGGGAGGAGCCAAGGGUUGAUAUACUAGUAUGAACUGCAUUACUGUCUUUUAAAAUCACUACUGUUGGGGAACCUUGUAGCAAACAGUAAAGAAAUCAAUUGCAGUGUUCUGCUUAGUUACAAAAGAAGCCUGAAAUGUCAAAAUUAUUAAGCUAAUAUAUUCUAGAAGGAGUAUGAACAUCAUCUUGUCUGUUUGGGAGUUCAGGUGAUCUUACCCUGCAUUAUCAGUUCUGGCUUUGGUGUAUCUUUAGAAGCGCAAUGCCAGAGAAUUAAAAAAGCAGAACUUUUUUUUGUUGUCAUUAUUAAACUUACAUGAAAUUUUAGGGUAAAAUUUGGUUUAUGGUCAAGUUAGUUUAAAAUUCAGCAUUGCAAAAUAAACAGCUUGUGUAGACAGCCUUUGCCUUUAGUUAACCGUAAGCCUCUUAAUGCCUAUAGAGGAGCAGUUGGGCAGCAGUCGGAACAGGGGUACGUUAUGCCAAGGUGUCUGGCCCAGCGUGCUUUCUCUCUCAGAAGACAGAUGUCUUUCGAGUGAAAUCAGUGCAGGUUCUAUACAUCCAUACGUUGUUAUUGUCAGCUCUGUUGGGGUGAUGAUGACGCUGUCAUUUUUGCAGAAGUAGAUUCAAGUCAGUUGAGACGUCAGCUGUGUGGUGGCAGCCAGGCGGCGAUCGAAAGGAUGAUCCAUUUUGGAAGAGAAUUGCAAGCGAUGAGUGAGCAACUAAGAAGAGAAUGUGGCAAAAACACAGCAAAUAAGAAGAUGCUCAAGGAUGCGUUCAGUUUACUUGCGUAUUCGGAUCCCUGGAGCAGCCCUGUUGGAAAUCAGCUUGACCCUAUACAAAGAGAACCUGUGUGCUCUGUACUUAAUAGUGCAAUACUAGAGACUCACAACCUGCCAAAGCAACCGCCACUUGCCCUGGCAAUGGGACAAGCGUCACAGUGUCUGGGAUUGAUGGCUCGAUCAGGAAUUGGCUCCUGCGCCUUCGCCACAGUGGAAGACUACCUACACUAGCUAUGCAUUUGAAGACCUGAAAGGUGUCGUGGCAUAUUCAACACGGAAAGUAGGCCAGCUCUGCUGACUGGAAUUUGGGAUUUUAAUUAUGUACUAAGGACAAGUCUGUCGCUUUAUGUUGCUUCCUAGUUUACAGCAUGAUGCAAAUGAUUUCUAACUUAGCGUUAGGAGAAAAUUUCCAUCUUGAAACCUCUUAGAGAACUAAGAGUUGAAAAUGUCACUGAUAAUGUCAGACAUCCAGAUUGACAAGUACCGGUCCUUUAAACGAUUGUCCAAAACAAACCAAAAAUCCUGCUACCUUGUGGUGGGACGGAAGAGUGGAAAACGCAGCUGUAUUAGCAUGUGGGUGAUGCAAAUGUCAAGCAGGAUGACUUGCCAACCUCCACCCCCAUUGUUACAUAGUUCAAUCAGUGUAAUUUGCAAAAUGCAAAUGGUUUGGAUAUAUAGUGUUGAUGGGAAGAAAUGAUAUUUUUUAAUGUGUACUGUAAAACUUGAAUUACUCAGGAGCUGAGUGAAUAUGUUUGUUGCUACUUACAAUCCCAACCUGUUGAUCUUAGUAGGGUUUUUUUUUUUGUUUUGUUUUAACAUGGUCUUUUCAACUUUGUUUCCUUGUUUAAUUACAGACAGCUUCUGUUGUGUAGACUCACCAGUUUAACUGUUGUAUUAUAACAGUAUUACAUGUCAACACAGUGUGGUUAUGACCUAUUUAUAUAAAAACCAAAUAUUUAGUCAAUUUACAGUCUUAAUUUAAUCUUUGUACACCUUGCAUUUUUAAAAGUGCUUAAAUAGUACUAUAUUGCAAUAAAAUGUAGUGAUACCAUAAUUAACCAGCCAUUAAAAACUUACUUCUACAUACAUGGUA